rnacentral:rRNA from 1 species
AGAACGAACGCUGGCGGCAUGCCUAACACAUGCAAGUCGAACGAGACCUUCGGGUCUAGUGGCGCACGGGUGCGUAACGCGUGGGAAUCUACCCUUGGGUUCGGAAUAACUCAGAGAAAUUUGAGCUAAUACCGGAUGAUGACGUAAGUCCAAAGAUUUAUCGCCCAGGGAUGAGCCCGCGUAAGAUUAGCUAGUUGGUGGGGUAAAGGCCUACCAAGGCGACGAUCUUUAGCUGGUCUGAGAGGAUGAUCAGCCACACUGGGACUGAGACACGGCCCAGACUCCUACGGGAGGCAGCAGUGGGGAAUAUUGGACAAUGGGCGAAAGCCUGAUCCAGCAAUGCCGCGUGAGUGAUGAAGGCCUUAGGGUUGUAAAGCUCUUUUACCAGGGAUGAUAAUGACAGUACCUGGAGAAUAAGCUCCGGCUAACUCCGUGCCAGCAGCCGC